GCGGGAGUGCCGGAGUCUGGAAAACGGAUACGGUCGAGGUCCGUAUGGCUUAGUGCCUACGCAGGUUCAAAUCCUGUCUCCCGCA
rnacentral:tRNA from 1 species